GAUGAACGCUGGCGGCGUGCCUAAUACAUGCAAGUCGAGCGAAUGGAUUAAGAGCUUGCUCUUAUGAAGUUAGCGGCGGACGGGUGAGUAACACGUGGGUAACCUGCCCAUAAGACUGGGAUAGCUACGGGAAACCGGGGCUAAUACCGGAUAACAUUUUGAACAGCAUGGUUCGAACUUGAAAGGCGGAUUGGGCUGGCACUGAUGGAUGGUCCGGCGUCGCAUUAGCUAGUUGGUGAGGUAACGGCUCACCAAGGCAACGAUGCGUAGCCGACCGGAGAGGGUGAUCGGCCACACUGGGACUGAGACACGGCCCAGACUCCUACGGGAGGCAGCAGUAGGGAAUCUUCCGCAAUGGACGAAAGUCUGACGGAGCAACGCCGCGUGAGUGAUGAAGGCUUUCGGGUCGUAAAACUCUGUUGUUAGGGAAGAACAAGUGCUAGUUGAAUAAGCUGGCACCUUGACGGUACCUAACCAGAAAGCCACGGCUAACUACGUGCCAGCCGCCGCGGUAA
rnacentral:rRNA from 1 species